rnacentral:rRNA from 1 species
GAGUUUGAUCCUGGCUCAGGACGAACGCUGGCGGCGUGCUUAACACAUGCAAGUCGAACGAAAAGACGGAAAGAGCUUGCUCUUUUCAGAAUUGAGUGGCAAACGGGUGAGUAACACGUAAACAACCUGCCUUCAGGAUGGGGACAACAGACGGAAACGACUGCUAAUACCGAAUAAGUUCCAAGAGCCGCAUGGCCCAUGGAAGAAAAGGUGGCCUCUACCUGUAAGCUAUCGCCUGAAGAGGGGUUUGCGUCUGAUUAGCUAGUUGGAGGGGUAACGGCCCACCGAGGCGACGAUCAGUAGCCGGUCUGAGAGGAUGAACGGCCACACUGGAACUGAGACACGGUCCAGACUCCUACGGGAGGCAGCAGUGGGGAAUCUUCCGCAAUGGGCGAAAGCCUGACGGAGCAACGCCGCGUGAGUGAUGACGGCCUUCGGGUUGUAAACUCCUGUCGUUAGGGACGAUAAUGACGGUACCUAACAAGAAAGCACCGGCUAACUACGUGCCAGCCGCCGCGGUAAUUC